UGUCUUUCUCUCCUCUCUCUUCUCCCUCACAUCAUCUCUAACUUUUACUGGUAGAACCGCUUCCCGACCCCAAGGGGAGUUUAUUUUAAUCCCGUUCAGCAGCGGGCUGGUUUCCCGGUGGGGCCGUUGGCCCGGAGGAGCUGAGGUGCCUCAGGGCUGCCCUUCAGAGGGUUAAGUAAAACAUGAAAACCCAGUAGUAAGGCAAUACCAGAGAUGGCAAACCAGUGUUAAUUACUCCAAACUGAAAGACUGAUGGGUUUCACACACAAAGAAGGAGGAAAAAAAGUACUUCUUGAAGCACGGAGGAUGGAAGGAAUAAGGAAAUACAAGCUUGGGAAAAGGCUGCACACAUUUACUAGUGAGUACUUUGGAGCAUUUAUCCUGUAUAU